rnacentral:lncRNA from 1 species
CUGUGUGCUGUCUCAUCAUCUACUUCUACUCUUUGAAAGCAAGCAAAUAACAUGUAAAUGCCAAGAUUAAUAGAUUUUUUAAAAUUUAACAUUUAAAUAAAUUUUGUCUAAGCUUUAACACUGGGGUGGGUGGAACUAUUACAAGCUGAUAACUAAAGUAGCAUCCAGAAGAGGAGGGAAGAAGGAAUGGUCACAAGUGAGGGCUGGUUCUUGUCAGGUGACCUUACUGAUGAAGACAAUCAGAAGAACAGAGCUUAUAUUAAAGGGGUUAAUAUGACUCCGAAGUAGCAGUUAGACUGCCUUCUCGAUCUUGUUAAAAGAUAACAAUUUUAAUUUAUUUUAUUUUUCCAAUUUCUAUAAAAACAAUGUUAUUCCUUAUCUUCAGCUGUGACAAAGUGGUACAUGUAGGUAAUUCUAAGCCAAGGAUUGUUAUAUACCACAGAAGAAGUGUGAUACAGAGUGGAAAAGGCAGUAAAAUGGAAACUGAGACAUUGAGUUAGCAGGAAGGCUACUGGAAGGAACACCCUGCAUGACUGAAUCCAGUUUCCUGCUAGCGCAGUCAGACAUAGUGCUAAAUUCCUCACUGCCUAAAAGACUGCACCCUUCAUCUUUUGGGAAUAAUCUCUGGGCCCUAAUUCUGUCAGCAAUCGCACAAGGCGUUAACCUGAACCUGAUAAUGAUCAUGGACAUGCAAGCAAAGUCUCCUGUGCAAAAGUGCCUUGCAGUAGGACAUGUCUGUAGAUUGUGCCUCAUUUCUGCUAUCACACGGCCUAGUGUACUGCUGUAACAUUAGAAAUGAGCUCAAACAUAUAUUGUGCAACUUAUUAUGCCAGAGGCACAUUUUAUCUGCUAUGCAUUAUGCUUAUGCAUUAUGAUUAAUGUAUGUGAUUGACAUGUCUAUGCAUUUCUGUAAAUUCAAAUUCCAAAUACAGCCUUGGCUUCAAUUCUUCAGGAACAAAACCAAAUAAACAGCAUUCAUACAUUGUGAAGGACUUCCA